rnacentral:rRNA from 1 species
CACGUAGGGCGCAAGCGUUGUCCGGAAUUAUUGGGCGUAAAGAGCUCGUAGGUGGUUUGUUACGUCCGCUGUGAAAUCCUAGGGCUUAACCCUGGGCUUGCAGUGGGUACGGGCAGACUAGAGUGCGGUAGGGGAGACUGGAAUUCCGUGGUGUAGCGGUGAAAUGCGCAGAGUAUCAGGAGGAACACCGGUGGCGAAGGCGGGUCUCUGGGCCGUAACUGACGCUGGAGGAGCGAAAGCGUGGGGAGCGAACAGG